rnacentral:rRNA from 1 species
ACGAACGCUGGCGGCGUGCCUAAUACAUGCAAGUCGAACGCUUCUUUUUCCAUCGGAGCUUGCUCCACCGGAAAAAGAGGAGUGGCGAACGGGUGAGUAACACGUGGGUAACCUGCCCAUCAGAAGGGGAUAACACUUGGAAACAGGUGCUAAUACCGUAUAACAAUCGAAACCGCAUGGUUUUGAUUUGAAAGGCGCUUUCGGGUGUCGCUGAUGGAUGGACCCGCGGUGCAUUAGCUAGUUGGUGAGGUAACGGCUCACCAAGGCGACGAUGCAUAGCCGACCUGAGAGGGUGAUCGGCCACAUUGGGACUGAGACACGGCCCAAACUCCUACGGGAGGCAGCAGUAGGGAAUCUUCGGCAAUGGACGAAAGUCUGACCGAGCAACGCCGCGUGAGUGAAGAAGGUUUUCGGAUCGUAAAACUCUGUUGUUAGAGAAGAACAAGGAUGAGAGUAACUGUUCAUCCCUUGACGGUAUCUAACCAGAAAGCCACGGCUAACUACGUGCCAGCAGCCGCGGUAAUACGUAGGUGGCAAGCGUUGUCCGGAUUUAUUGGGCGUAAAGCGAGCGCAGGCGGUUUCUUAAGUCUGAUGUGAAAGCCCCCGGCUCAACCGGGGAGGGUCAUUGGAAACUGGGAGACGUGAGUGCAGAAGAGGAGAGUGGAAUUCCAUGUGUAGCGGUGAAAUGCGUAGAUAUAUGGAGGAACACCAGUGGCGAAGGCGGCUCUCUGGUCUGUAACUGACGCUGAGGCUCGAAAGCGUGGGGAGCAAACAGGAUUAGAUACCCUGGUAGUCCACGCCGUAAACGAUGAGUGCUAAGUGUUGGAGGGUUUCCGCCCUUCAGUGCUGCAGCUAACGCAUUAAGCACUCCGCCUGGGGAGUACGACCGCAAGGUUGAAACUCAAAGGAAUUGACGGGGGCCCGCACAAGCGGUGGAGCAUGUGGUUUAAUUCGAAGCAACGCGAAGAACCUUACCAGGUCUUGACAUCCUUUGACCACUCUAGAGAUAGAGCUUCCCCUUCGGGGGCAAAGUGACAGGUGGUGCAUGGUUGUCGUCAGCUCGUGUCGUGAGAUGUUGGGUUAAGUCCCGCAACGAGCGCAACCCUUGCUAUUAGUUGCUACGCAAGAGCACUCUAAUAGGACUGCCGUUGACAAAACGGAGGAAGGUGGGGACGACGUCAAAUCAUCAUGCCCCUUAUGACCUGGGCUACACACGUGCUACAAUGGGAAGUACAACGAGUCGCAAAGUCGCGAGGCUAAGCUAAUCUCUUAAAGCUUCUCUCAGUUCGGAUUGUAGGCUGCAACUCGCCUACAUGAAGCCGGAAUCGCUAGUAAUCGCGGAUCAGCACGCCGCGGUGAAUACGUUCCCGGGCCUUGUACACACCGCCCGUCACACCACGAGAGUUUGUAACACCCGAAGUCGGUGAGGUAACCUUUUGGAGCCAGCCGCCUAAGGUGGGAUAGAUGAUUGGGGUG